AAGAUGGCAGCGAACGUGUACUUGACGUCAGUCACCAGUGAUAACCUAAGUCGACAUGACGGGCUGGCCUGGAUCAACGAGUCUCUGCAGUUGAAUCUGACAAAGAUACAACAGUUAUGUUCAGGGGCUGCGGGUACUGUCGGUUUAUGGACAUGCUAUUCCCUGGCUCCAUUGCCUUGAAGAAAGUGAAAUUCCAAGCUAAGCUAGAACAUGAAUAUAUCCAGAACUUCAGUAUACUCCAAGUGGGUUUCAAGAGGAUGGGUGUUGACAAAAUAAUUCCUGUGGAUAAAUUAGUAAAAGGAAAAUUUCAGGACAAUUUUGAAUUUGUUCAGUGGUUUAGAAGUUUUUUUGAUGCAAAUUAUGAUGGAAAAGAGUCUGACCCUGUACCUGCCAGACAAGGCCAGGAAACUGCAGUGGCUCCUUCCCACGUUGCUCCGGCUCUGAAUACACAGAAGAAACCUCUCAGCUCUGGCCGCGCUACUCCAUAGAGACCCAUUGCAACACAGAGAACUACUGCAGCGCCUAAGGCUGGUGCAGGGAUGGUGCGGAAGAACCCUGGUGUGGGCAACGGGGAUGAUGAAGCUGCCGAGCUGAUGCAGCAAGUCAAAGUAUUGAAGCUUGCUGUUGAAGACUCGGAGAAAGAGAGAGAUUUCUGCUUUGGAAAGCUAAGGAACAUUGAAUCGAUUUGCCAGGAGAAUGAGGGGGAGAACGACCCUGUACUGCAGAGGACUGUCGAUAUUCUCUAGGCCACCGAUGAAGGCUUUGUGCUAUCUGAUGAAGGGGGCCCACAGGAAGAACAAGAAGAGUAUUAAACAGCCUGGACCAGCAGAGCAACAUCUGAAUUCUUCACUCCAAAUCAUGUGCUUGACUGUUAAGUACUCCUUUUAUUAUUCUUAGAGGAGUCACCAUUUCUUUACAUAAACAAAAAGUACCUCUUCUUAAAAGUGCACUUUGCAGAAGUUUCACUCCUUUUCCAAUGAGUUUGGUUAGGAGCUGUUACCUUGUAGCAGAGCAGUAUUAACAUCUAGUUGGUUCAUCAGGGGGGGACAAAGGGGCUGACCACGGGGCUCUCCAUGUGGAUGCUGGUCACAGUGACUGAUGGAGAAGGUAUUUUUU